AGUGGCGGACGGGUGAGUAACGCGUGAGAAUCUGCCUUGGGGUCGGGGACAACCACUGGAAACGGUGGCUAAUACCGGAUACGCCUUCGGGUAAAAGAUUUAUUGCCCUAAGAGGAGCUCGCGUCUGAUUAGCUAGUUGGUGAGGUAAGAGCUCACCAAGGCAGCGAUCAGUAGCUGGUCUGAGAGGACGAUCAGCCACACUGGGACUGAGACACGGCCCAGACUCCUACGGGAGGCAGCAGUGGGGAAUUUUCCGCAAUGGGCGAAAGCCUGACGGAGCAAGACCGCGUGAGGGAGGAAGGCUCUUGGGUUGUAAACCUCUUUUCUCAGGGAAGAAGCUCUGACGGUACCUGAGGAAUCAGCCUCGGCUAACUCCGUGCCAGCAGCCGCGGUAAUACGGAGGAGGCAAGCGUUAUCCGGAAUUAUUGGGCGUAAAGCGUCCGCAGGUGGCGAUUCAAGUCUGCUGUCAAAGCACGGGGCUUAACUCCGUAAAGGCAGUGGAAACUGAAUAGCUAGAGUGCCGUAGGGGUAGAGGGAAUUCCCGGUGUAGCGGUGAAAUGCGUAAAGAUCGGGAAGAACAUCGGUGGCGAAAGCGCUCUACUGGACGGCAACUGACACUCAGGGACGAAAGCUAGGGGAGCGAAUGGGAUUAGAUACCCC
rnacentral:rRNA from 1 species